UCAGGUGGAAAAGCUGCAGUAUCACCCUGAACACACUACUCUUGUCUGAUUUCAGAAGGUAAGCAGGAUUGGGCUUGGUAACUACAGAGAUGGGAUACCACUGGAGCCAUCAGAAAUCCUCAUGAA
rnacentral:rRNA from 1 species